ACACCGGCCGCCCAAGUGGUGGCCAUUUUUAUUGGGCCUAAAGCGUUCGUAGCCGGCCUGAUAAGUCUCUGGUGAAAUCCCGCAGCUUAACUGUGGGAAUUGCUGGAGAUACUAUCAGGCUUGAGGUCGGGAGAGGUUAGAGGUACUCCCAGGGUAGGGGUGAAAUCCUAUAAUCCUGGGAGGACCACCUGUGGCGAAGGCGUCUAACUGGAACGAACCUGACGGUGAGUAACGAAAGCCAGGGGCGCGAACCGGAUUAGAUUCCCGGGUAGUCCUGGCCGUAAACGAUGUGGACUUGGUGUUGGGAUGGCCUCGAGCUGCCCCAGUGCCGAAGGGAAGCUGUUAAGUCCACCGCCUGGGAAGUACGGUCGCAAGACUGAAACUUAAAUGAAUUGGCGGGG
rnacentral:rRNA from 1 species